ACGUUUCAAAGAUCUCAAAGGCUUGAUCGAACAGGAUUUUGUACUGAUGUUUGGUGAGGAUGUAUCAGGCAGGUUGCUGGAGAGGUGGCCAACAGCAUUCAAAAGAAAGAUUAUCCAACAAGGCAGAAAGCUUCCUUCUACCAGUGACCUGAAAGAACUCUUGCUGGCAGCUGACUCACCUGAGGAUGCCACUGAAGUUAAUGCUGACAUUGGCUGGGACAGUGGGACAGGUGGGACAAUAGCAA